rnacentral:rRNA from 1 species
AACGAGCAAGAUCCCCUGCCUCUAGUUGCUACCACCGUUUUCAGGAACGGAGGGGCUAAUUAGAGGGACCGCCGCCGCUAAGGCGGAGGAAGGAGGGGGCUACGGCAGGUCAGUAUGCCCCGAAACCCUCGGGCCACACGCGGGCUGCAAUGGUAAGGACAGCGGGUUCCGAUCCCGAAAGGGGGAGGCAAUCCUACAAACCUUACCUCAGUUAUGAUUGGGGGCUGAAACUCGCCCUCAUGAAUAUGGAAUCCCUAGUAACCGCGUGUCAUCAUCGCGCGGUGAAUACGUCCCUGCUCCUUGCACACACCGCCCGUCGCUUCACCGAAGCUGGUUCUUGGCGAGGUGGCGCCUAAUUGGCGCUAUCGAACCUGGGGUCAGCAACGGGGGAGAAG